GAUGAACGCUAGCGGCAGGCCUAAUACAUGCAAGUCGAGGGAGAUUGUUGGAUUCGUCUGACAUGAAACCGGCGCACGGGUGCGUAACACGUAUGCAACCUACCUUUAACUGGGGUAUAGCUCAGAGAAAUCUGAAUUAAUCCCCCAUAAGACUACGACAUGGCAUCAUGAUGUAGUUAAAGCUCCGGCGGUUAAGGAUGGGCAUGCGGUACAUUAGCUAGUUGGUGAGGUAAUGGCUCACCAAGGCUACGAUGUAUAGGGGGUCUGAGAGGAUGAUCCCCCACACUGGUACUGAGAUACGGACCAGACUCCUACGGGAGGCAGCAGUAGGGAAUAUUGGUCAAUGGACGCAAGUCUGAACCAGCCAUGCCGCGUGAAGGAUGAAGGCCCUCUGGGUCGUAAACUUCUUUUAUUAGGGAAGAAAACAUGGGAUGCGUCCCAAACUGACGG
rnacentral:rRNA from 1 species